rnacentral:rRNA from 1 species
ACGGGGUAGUAAUGUGUCGGAACGUGCCCUCUGGACGGGGAUAGCGGCGGGAAACUGCCGGUAAUACCCGAUGAACUCGAGAGAGCAAAGGUGUGAUUCCGCCGGAGGAGCGGCCGACAUGGUAUUAGCUAGUUGGCGGGGUAACGGCCCACCAAGGCCGUGAUGCCUAGGGGAUGUGAGAGCAUGAUCCCCACCAUUGGGACUGAGACACUGCCCAGACACCUACGGGUGGCUGCAGUCGAGAAUCUUCGUCAAUGGGCGAAAGCCUGAACGAGCGACGCCGCGUGUGGGAUGAAGGCCUUUGGGUUGUAAACCACUGUCGAGGGGGAUGAAGGCAUUCAGGUCCUCCUGAAUGUUUGACAGAGCCCUGGAGGAAGCACGGGCUAAGUUCGUGCCAGCAGCCGCGGUAAUACGAACUGUGCGAACGUUAUUCGGAAUCACUGGGCUUACAGGGUGCGUAGGCGGCUUAGCAAGUCAGGUGUGAAAGCCCCCGGCUCAACCGGGGAACUGCGCUUGAAACUGCUGAGCUCGAGUCAGCUAGAGGUACACGGAACUUCCAGUGGAGCGGUGAAAUGUGUUGA